CAACGACGAGCUUCCCUGCCACACAAUUGGGAAGUUUUCCUUGCAUUUGUAGAACGAUUGUACUGAUUUUGCUGAAUAAUUUUGUAAACUCUUGGAAUUUCUUUACGAGCAAUCUCCUUAAUAACCUGCUGUUGAAGGGUUUCUACAGUUUUCUUUUUCUUAUUAGGUGCCGAAGCAGUAGCAUUUGCCUUAGUGUCUUCGGUGGAAGCUUCCUUAUUAGUAGAAUUACCGGU